UACGUAGGCGGAUGGCCAAGUAUCUUGUGAAAUCCCUCGGCUCAACCGAGGAAUUGCAGGGUAAACUGGUCGUCUUGAGGCAGGUAGAGGUAACUGGAACUCAUGGUGGAGCGGUGGAAUGCGUAGAUAUCAGGAGGAACGCCAAAGGUGAAGACAAGUUACUGGGCCUGUCCUGACGCUGAGGUACGAAAGCGUGGGUAGCAAACAGGAUUAGAUACCCUGGUAGUCC
rnacentral:rRNA from 1 species